AUGAGGCAGGUGACAAGAGUGACCGUGCUCUUGACCUUGGGUACUUUGAGCCUUGCUAAGACCACCCAGCCCAUCUUCAUGCUUUCAGAUGAAGGACAGGAAGUGAACAUACCCUGUAACCACACCAACAUUGCUACAAAUGAGUAUAUCUUCUGGUACCAACAGUUCUACAACCAGGGGCCACAAUUUGUUAUUCAAGGAUAUAAGACAGACACGGCAAAUGAAGUGGCAUCUCUGUUUAUCGCUGCCGACAGGAAGUCUAGUGUGCUGAGGCUGCCCUGGGCUUCCCUGAAAGACACUGCUGUGUACUACUGCAUUGUGAGUGAUGCACAGUGA